CCCAAUCUUUGCCACUCUGUGGUAAAACUUUUUCUUCUUCAGCUCCUUUGAUAAAUAUCACAGCAUCAUGUGGCAGAGGUCAACAUUUUUAAAUUUCCAGACUCAUAUUGUAAUUAUCUAUGAAAAAAAACAGUGCUACUGAGAUCUGGUCCUGUCAGCAAAGUCAGCGCUUGUACCUUCUCCAGGAGGCAAUACUGUCCAAGGAAGAGAACAAAGCCCGAGAAAUCUGAAUUUGGCAAAUGCUCACUCUCAGAGCCUCGUGAAGAUUUUCAGAUAGGCUUUGCAGGCUCUGAGAAUUAAGCUCACGGCUGUGGUGUCUAGCACGUGUCAUAUCUAAUGAUUGUGUAGAGUACUGCAGGAUUGCAUAUGGGAAUUAUACGUUUCCUUUGAGUUACCAUGAACAGUACCGGUCAGGCUAAAGGACAGCGUGCUGUUUUUCUGAUCAAGUAAGGAUAUCUUAUUUCUUGUAAUAUAGAUAGGUACAGACUCCCUCGCACUGAUUUGCAGAAGUUAAUCUCAGAUGGGUUCCAGAUAAGGGAAGAGACAAAAUGAAGACCUUCAGCUUCCCUCAGCACCAAAGUACUUAACGCUCUUGGGGAGACCCACCAGCAAUCAGCAUCACCCCAUGCAGCCCUUUCCAGGCUGUAUCCUUUACAAGAAAUGCUCCAGGGGUCAGAUCUGUCCUCCUUUAUGCUCCCCAGUUUUCUGCUAUGCAUCAUGCAUCAAUAUAUCCCAGAUGCAAGGCUAAAAUCCUUUGUCUCUCCAAACAUCCUCUGGAAAACAGGGAGUGAAAAAGAUUAACUAGAACCAGAAUCUGAAGGACGUGUGCUUCCAUAAAUGCAACACAAGGCAUGGUUUGACGGGUGGAAAUUUAUGGUGAUAAUGAAGAAUUCAAGGAGAACACAGCUUGGAUUUCAAGAAGGUCAGAAGCCUGCAGAGUUGGCAGGUGGACACGAUUUUAUGACGGAUGCUCAGAGCAAGAGACAUUUUGAAUACUUCACAAAUGGUAUCGAAGACAUGGAAUUCCUAGCUUCCAUCCUGAGAGUUAACAUUUGCUGUUUCUACAGGCUGAUCAAACCGUGGUAAUUUUUAUAAAGAUAGCAAAGCAAUAUAUUGUAUUCUAUAGUGUAUUUUUUCUGCAAACACAAAAUGUUACACGUUGCAAGUGAUUUUUGCAAGUACUUAAGGAAUUAGUAGUUCCCCAGAAUAAAAGACCCUGAAAUAUUGGAUCAUAUGGGCUCAAAACACAUCUUUUGAGAAAGAGCAACCAUAGGACUCAUCCUACAGACACUGUUUUAUUGUACUUUAAUCAAAGCUCAAUUAGUCACAAGAUUUAAACAGAUUUCAGCAAUAAAAUGGAUGUCUCAGACUUGUCUUAUGCAACCAAAGAGCAAAAGAAUAAUGUUUUUUUUUUUUUAAUGGAAAACAUUUUUGCUUGAGUUAAGGAACAUUUACAAAAUAACUGCCAAAUCACACUACUUGUGAAAGUGAAAUGUUUUAAUUGGCUUUCAAAAUUUUUCUGAUGAAGCAAAUUUUUUGUCUUUUCCAUCCGCAGACCUAAAACCACCCUAUGACUGACAGUAGUUCCUUCAGGUACUGCAUUAGCACUGUCAUUAUUAUUCUUGAGUAUUAUCAGGACUCUUGUUGUAGCUCUAUGAAAUGUUUUCCUUAUGGCAGACAAAUCUUGUCACCAAAUGUUCUCUAAUGCAUUUAUAGUUGAUGUGUAUUAAAGAUAAAUAAAUAGCAAAUUAUACAUGUGACGUCACCUAAUAGUCUUGUUACGAUAUUUAUUAUGUCUGUGGCCAUACACUGGUCUAGCUCUUUCUCCCACUCUCUAUUUUCCACA
ensembl:lncRNA